rnacentral:rRNA from 1 species
UACGUAGGGGGCGAGCGUUGUCCGGAGUUACUGGGCGUAAAGCGCACGCAGGCGGUCUGCUAAGUUUGGAGUGACAGUUGGUGGCUUAACUGCCAAAGUGCUUCGAAAACUGACAGACUUGAGGGCUUCAGAGGGACACGGAAUUCCGGGUGGAGUGGUGAAAUGCGUGGAGAUCCGGAGGAACACCAAAGGCGAAGGCAGUGUCCUGGGGAGUACCUGACGCUCAGGUGCGAAAGCCAGGGGAGCGAACGGG